UGGGGAAUAUUGCACAAUGGACGGAAGUCUGAUGCAGCAACGCCGCGUGCGGGAUGACGGCCUUCGGGUUGUAAACCGCUUUUUCUCAUGACGAAGUUUUUUGACGGUAGUGGGGGAAGAAGCACCGGCUAACUACGUGCCAGCAGCCGCGGUGAUACGUAGGGUGCGAGCGUUGUCCGGAAUUAUUGGGCGUAAAGAGCUUGUAGGCGGUUUGUCGCGUCGAUAGUGCAAACUCAGUGCUUAACGCUGAGCCUGCUGUUGAUACGGGCAGACUAGAGGAAGGUAGGGGAGAAUGGAAUUCCCGGUGGAGCGGUGGAAUGCGCAGAUAUCGGGAGGAGCACCGGUGGCGAAGGCGGUUCUCUGGGCCUUUCCUGACGCUGAGAAGCGAAAGCGUGGGGAGCGAACAGG
rnacentral:rRNA from 1 species